UGGGGAAUUUUGGACAAUGGGCGAAAGCCUGAUCCAGCAAUGCCGCGUGUGUGAAGAAGGCCUUCGGGUUGUAAAGCACUUUUGUCCGGAAAGAAAUCCUUGGCUCUAAUACAGUCGGGGGAUGACGGUACCGGAAGAAUAAGCACCGGCUAACUACGUGCCAGCAGCCGCGGUAAUACGUAGGGUGCAAGCGUUAAUCGGAAUUACUGGGCGUAAAGCGUGCGCAGGCGGUUUGCUAAGACCGAUGUGAAAUCCCCGGGCUCAACCUGGGAACUGCAUUGGUGACUGGCAGGCUAGAGUAUGGCAGAGGGGGGUAGAAUUCCACGUGUAGCAGUGAAAUGCGUAGAGAUGUGGAGGAAUACCGAUGGCGAAGGCAGCCCCCUGGGCCAAUACUGACGCUCAUGCACGAAAGCGUGGGGAGCAAAACAGGAUUAGAUACCCUGGUAGUCCACGCCCUAAACGAUGUCAACUAGUUGUUGGGGACUUCAUUUUCCUUAGUAACGUAGCUAACGCGUGAAGUUGACCGCCU
rnacentral:rRNA from 1 species